CCCUUAGAUGUUCUGGGCCGCACGCGUGCUACACUGAGUGGAUCAGCGGGUCAGGUUGCGCGAAAGCGUUUCCUAAUCUUUAAAUCCGCUCGUGAUGGGGAUUGACGGUUGCAAUUUUCUGUCAUGAACGAGGAAUACCUUGUAAGCGCGGGUCAUCAUCCCGCGCUGAAUACGUCCCUGCCCUUUGUACACACCGCCCGUCGCUCCUACCGAUUGGGUGUGCUGGUGAAAUGUUCGGAUCGGCCGUUUGUCGCGGUUUCCGCGUCAUGUGGCUGAGAAGUUCAUUAAACCCGCCCACCUAGAGGAAGGAGAAGUCGUAACA
rnacentral:rRNA from 1 species